rnacentral:tRNA from 1 species
CUGUUGCGCAAUGGAUAGCGUGUUGGACAUUUAAUUCAAAGUUCGUGGGUUCGAAUCCCACCUGAAUGG